GAUGAUUUCUUGAUAUGGUAUCAGAGUCUUGUUGAACUAAUGGUUAUGAGUUCGAAUCUCAUAAUCUUCA
rnacentral:tRNA from 1 species